rnacentral:rRNA from 1 species
UACGGGGGGGGCAAGCGUUGUUCGGAAUUACUGGGCGUAAAGGGCGCGUAGGCGGCCAUCUAAGUCAGACGUGAAAUCCCUCGGCUCAACCGAGGAACUGCGUCUGAUACUGGAAGGCUUGAAUCCGGGAGAGGGAUGUGGAAUUCCAGGUGUAGCGGUGAAAUGCGUAGAUAUCGUAAGGAAGACCAGUGGCGAAGGCGGGUCUCUGGACAGUUCCUGACGCUGAGGCACGAAGGUCAGGGGAGCGAACAGG